rnacentral:rRNA from 1 species
AUGUCUAAGUAUAAGCAAUUAUACAGCGAAACUGCGAAUGGCUCAUUAAAUCAGUUAUCGUUUAUUUGAUAGUACCUUACUACAUGGAUAACCGUGGUAAUUCUAGAGCUAAUACAUGCUAAAAACCCCGACUUCGGAAGGGGUGUAUUUAUUAGAUUAAAAACCAAUGCCCUUCGGGGCUCACUGGUGAUUCAUAAUAACUUCUCGAAUCGCACGGCCUUGCGCCGGCGAUGGUUCAUUCAAAUUUCUGCCCUAUCAACUUUCGACGGCUGGGUCUUGGCCAGCCGUGGUGACAACGGGUAACGGAGGGUUAGGGCUCGACCCCGGAGAAAACGCCUGAGAAACGGCGUUUACAUCCAAGGAAGGCAGCAGGCGCGCAAAUUACCCAAUGCCGACACGGCGAGGUAGUGACGAGAAAUACUGAUACAGGGCCCUUUUGGGUCUUGUAAUUGGAAUGAGUACAAUUUAAAUCUCUUAACGAGGAACAAUUGGAGGGCAAGUCUGGUGCCAGCAGCCGCGGUAAUUCCAGCUCCAAUAGCGUAUAUUAAAGUUGUUGCAGUUAAAAAGCUCGUAGUUGAACCUUGGGCCUGGCUGGCCGGUCCGCCUCACCGCGUGCACUGGUCCGGCCGGGCCUUUCCCUCUGGGGAACCGCAUGUCCUUCACUGGGCGUGUCGGGGAACCAGGACUUUUACUUUGAAAAAAUUAGAGUGUUCAAAGCAGGCCUAUGCUCGAAUACAUUAGCAUGGAAUAAUAGAAUAGGACGUGUGGUUCUAUUUUGUUGGUUUCUAGGACCGCCGUAAUGAUUAAUAGGGACAGUCGGGGGCAUCAGUAUUCAAUUGUCAGAGGUGAAAUUCUUGGAUUUAUUGAAGACUAACUACUGCGAAAGCAUUUGCCAAGGAUGUUUUCAUUAAUCAGGAACGAAAGUUAGGGGAUCGAAGACGAUCAGAUACCGUCGUAGUCUUAACCAUAAACUAUGCCGACUAGGGAUCGGACGGUGUUAUUUUUUGACCCGUUCGGCACCUUACACGAAAGUACAAGUUUCUGGUUCUGGGGG